GCCGUCGCUCCGCGGCGAGCUCCUCCCUGUGUAGUCGGUCUCCAGCAUCUGCGCCCCAGUCGGCCGGCCGGCGAGGUUGUGCCGCACACUUGGAUUUUCCUCUGUACGGAUUCCAUCUCCAGAACUCAGAGGUCCUCCCUCCGUCGGUCCAAAUCCUACCUCCGCCAAGUCGUGCUGCCGCGAGCGCGUGGGGCAGCCGUGCUCACCCGACUUCGUUUUCUAGCGGCAGCGCCCCUUCCAGGAAUGGCGCUGCUGAGGAUGCUCAGGUUCUUGCCGAAUGCCUGGCCAAAUUCCUUUUGCUGUAUGAAAUCCAAAUCCAAAUUCCCUGAAGGUCAGUGCUAAGUUUUUGUGCUGUCUCUUAUUAUAAACUGAUUUGUUCUUUUAAUAUACUACCAAAUUGCAAGUAUUGUCCAUAGAGCAAUGAAUUAUGUACUCUCCCAUGAAAUAUAUCUUACAGUUGUAGACAUGUUAUUUACUUACAUAAGAGAAAGACAUGACCUGGAUGAAGAUGUCGCGCACGGUGAUUCUCAGGUUCUUGCCCACUCUCACCAACUUGGAUGUCAACACUUAACUGCAUGCAAAUUCAGAUCAAAAUACCCUAGUAUCAGUGCUACUUAUUUUUUAUGUCUUGAAUUAUCAAAAAAAAAAUUCUUGUAAACUGCUCAAAUUCUAAGUCUUCAUCAUAUAGAAGUGGUUUUGAGACUUACAGAAGAUAAGGCCUUCAGCUGGCAUCGAAUAUUCUCAGCGUGUUUGUUCCUCUGCUAUACAACGACCCUGCUAGAUCGCUCCAACAAUGCCGCCGUGUUCCUAUUGUCCAUCAAUUCCCUAGCGCUCGUGGGCUCCGGUGCGGACUCCAGAUGAUACGGAUGACGUGGCGGCCGUAUUUUGUCGAUCGUAUUCAGAGUGGAUUCGAACGCUCAAAGGAAACAAAUGAAAUGAAGUUUAUAAUGUUGCUGCUUCAAACGGAAAACAUAUCAAUGGAAUUUCAAACUAUUCAAGAACUCUGAUGCAUACAUCUGAUCUCCAUCUUCUGUAUUGGACAUUGCUUUGCACACCGUAUCUGAGCUUCGGUCGAGACACAAUUUUGUCAAUGUCAGUUGAGUCUGGGAACACGACCAUUUGUUCAUCUGGAAGAUGGAACUGCAAUCUCUGUACAGAAGGUUGUCGAUGCUGAAGUUCAAAUCCAAAUAUGCGCCAAGAUGCUUCACCUGCGGAUAGGUACCGUGCAUCAAGGUACAUUUGUAUCUCAUCAUAUUUAUUCCCAGAACUCAAAAUUACAGUUGCUCUAUCCUCCCCUUUAUGUAUGUACUUGAAUAAGUACUUGAUAGAUCUCGACUUAUUGCACCACUCUACAUUUAUGUGUGCCUGGUACUUGACUAUGAGGUCCCUAUUGUAUGGAACAACAUAGCUGCUAUCUAGUUCUACUCCAUUUUUUUGUACUGUCUUUCCAUCAUCCCUUCUUCUGUAUACAGGAAAUCCUUCUUCAUCGAUACUUGUUUCCUCACAGAACUUCUUUGGAAAAUGUUUUGAGCACUUUCCAUUGAUCAUGCAAGGCCGCUAUAUAGCUCCAUCCUAAGUGUGCCUUGAUGCGUCUUGUACCAAUUCAGCCUCCACUGCUCAAUGCAUGCUGCUGCGUCUACUAUGAAUUGAAGGAACAACUUGCCACUCAUUUGCAGGACCACCGAUUGAUUUAGUCGCUGCUGGAUACGAUAUGCAUAAUACUCCAUCAUGGUUAAUAUAUUGAAGGAUGCGUGGAACAUCUUUUGAAGAAAAUGAUGGAAUUAUCUUCGUAAAGUUGUACCUUUGUUUUGUCAGAGGCACAUGAUUCUUCGACAUGGAGGCCGAGGCUAUUGCUGCUGAGUUUAGAAGUUUUGAUCGAUCCCUUUGCAACAACGUAGAACUUUUUUGUCUUCUCCGGACCUAAUGUAUAGUGCUGUAAAAUCAUGGACGCUCAUAAUUAUAGAAACACCAACGUGAGAUAAACAUGAAUUACAAUUACAAUAACCUUGAUCCCACCUUGUGCGUUUCUUUAGUCUCCUGUCCGUCGGAAGAUCUGGAGUAUUAAUGGGUAAAAAGUAUGCAUAGAUAUUCUUAUAUAAUAAUGGCAAUCAGACGUGUUGGGGUUGGACUCUGCAA